rnacentral:rRNA from 1 species
AGUGAACGCUGGCGGUAGGCCUAACACAUGCAAGUCGAACGGCAGCACAGUAAGAGCUUGCUCUUGCGGGUGGCGAGUGGCGGACGGGUGAGGAAUACAUCGGAAUCUACUUUUUCGUGGGGGAUAACGUAGGGAAACUUACGCUAAUACCGCAUACGACCUACGGGUGAAAGCAGGGGAUCUUCGGACCUUGCGCGAUUGAAUGAGCCGAUGUCGGAUUAGCUAGUUGGCGGGGUAAAGGCCCACCAAGGCGACGAUCCGUAGCUGGUCUGAGAGGAUGAUCAGCCACACUGGAACUGAGACACGGUCCAGACUCCUACGGGAGGCAGCAGUGGGGAAUAUUGGACAAUGGGCGCAAGCCUGAUCCAGCCAUACCGCGUGGGUGAAGAGGGCCUUCGGGUUGUAAAGCCCUUUUGUUGGGAAAGAAAAGCAGCAGGUUAAUACCCCGCUGUUCUGACGGUACCCAAAGAAUAAGCACCGGCUAACUUCGUG